GAGCAACCAACUGUCCUAAAGAAUGGUUUUCAAUAAUUAUAGUCUGGUUUCUCUCCCUCUUAUUUAGGAGAUUUAAUCAAGCGUGACAUUCACAAAAUGAUAAGAGGAUGGUGAACGCAGCCAUCAAUGUCCUCACUACAUUGCUUCCCAGCGUAACCUGCAGAAUUCUGGUGGCUUCAUGUUAAUAGUGCAGGGGCCUGUAGGUGGUGAGGACUUGUUUGCCAGCAGAGGCAAAGAGGCUCAAGCAAGAAUUUUGGACUGCAAAAAUUUCAGUUCAGCCUCCACAGGAUCAAUACACUUGUGGUGAUAUGAAGGUUUCAAGUUGUUUCAUAACUAAUUGACAAGGGAUUGGACAUGAGGGAAUCUUUCUAACCAUCUUGUUUUGAGAUGCAGCAUAGAGAAGGCUCUUUGAGCCUCCUCAGCAGCAGCCACUGAUUUAAACCCGGCCUAAUCAUGGGACAAUUUACAAUGGCCAAUUAACCUACUGAACGGAUUGUGGGAAGAAACUGGAGCACCCAUGCAUUCCACAGAUCGACAUAUAAACUCCUUACAGAGGAUGCCAGGAAUGAACCCCAAAGUCCGACACCCUGAGCUGUAAUAGCAUCAUGCGGAUCGCUACGCUACCCUGGUUACUGUAGAAUCACUGAGUCUUUAUGGUUCCUGUCAUGUCGGCUUGAAAUACUUUUAAUUUGCCUUACGUGGCAGCUCUCUGAUGAAGAUUCUUCUGCAGUGAAGGUUGAAAAUGGUGACUUUGCUUGCCUUCACUCAGGCAAUGUAGCUAACACGUUGGCCACAAGCCACUGAUCUCAAAUUUUCAACCUUUUCCCACAUAGCCAUCAGGAAAAGCCACAGGAAGUCCCUCAGAAUCCAGGUGGUGAGUACCAGGGAU